GCGCGACCAGGACCCGAGAUCCGCGUCUCUCCGGGACAAAAUGAGCAGCUGUAUGCGCUCACGCCGGGGGUGGCUCGCUAUUGUUCCGGGUAACGAUCCACCUCACCACCGGAGGAAGAACAAGAAUGGGAAAAAACAAAAAGAUGAAAAGAAGGAAAAGAAAACGACCAACGAUACGAGGAAGGGAGGACAGCAGGUUUCACGUAAAGCUCGCCCGGCGAUCGGGAGCCGCAGCAACGGUGUCUGCCUAAGCGAGUGAAGCUGAGCGAAUGACAGUGGAGGACAAAGGCACAUGUAUACCCCCUCCACGGCGCCGCGAUCUUAUAAUCCCCCAUGCCCCUCGCUCACAGGAACGACUGAGGGCACGAUGGAAGAGUCUGAUCGGGGGACAAACAAAAACUGCAUAACCGAAAUGAAAAUUUGACCAAAAGCCUAAACACGGAGCAGAAUGCGGGAAAACGCGACAAUCCCGCAACAAAGACUUUAAGAGCGUCACUGAAGCUGACCUUGGCCUUGCGUUGCCCCGGGCCGGAGACGAGCCCAGGCAGCUGCCAUUAGGAAAACCUACCCCAGCACCUCUCAAGUGGCCCGCUUGGGACCCCAGCCUACAGGCCCCAGAGAUGUUUAUCCAGCCCUAAGCACAGGGCCUCGCUUUAGCCCAGCUGCAUGUG